CGGGGACUGGCCUAACGGCAAGGCGCUCGCUUCGGGUGCGAGAGAUUCGCGGUUCGAAUCCGCGGUCCCCGACCA
rnacentral:tRNA from 1 species